ACGCUCGACACCUACGGGAGGCAGCAGUGGGGAAUAUUGCACAAUGGAGGAAACUCUGAUGCAGCGAUGCCGCGUGAGGGAAGAAGGUUUUCGGAUUGUAAACCUCUGUCUUUGGGGACGAUAAUGACGGUACCCAAGGAGGAAGCCCCGGCUAACUACGUGCUAGCAGCCGCGGUAAUCUGAGCGGGCUGGCAAGGC
rnacentral:rRNA from 1 species